rnacentral:tRNA from 1 species
AUUUCAUUAGUAAAAGUUAUGAUUAUAUUAUCUUGAUGAGGUAAAGUUUAAUGAAAUAG